UACGUAGGGCGCAAGCGUUAUCCGGAAUUAUUGGGCGUAAAGAGCUCGUAGGCGGUUUAUCGCGUCUGCCGUGAAAGUCCGGGGCUCAACUCCGGAUCUGCGGUGGGUACGGGCAGACUAGAGUGAUGUAGGGGAGACUGGAAUUCCUGGUGUAGCGGUGAAAUGCGCAGAUAUCAGGAGGAACACCGAUGGCGAAGGCAGGUCUCUGGGCAUUAACUGACGCUGAGGAGCGAAAGCAUGGGGAGCGAACAGG
rnacentral:rRNA from 1 species